AUUUAUAUAUUGAUCUUUUAUAUAUGGUUGAAUGGUAGGUUUAGUUUGGCGCUUCCCUAGUCUAUAUAGCAGCUCCCGAGCUCGGGUUCUUUGUUUAGGGUUUGGUGGUAAACCCAGGUUUUGUAGGGUUUCUUACAAGAUCUAGUUCAGUCUUGUAUCUCUUAGUACGUAUCUCUUCCGGUAGAGAUCGGGUUCAUGCGUAUGACCUAUUGGCCAUUUGAGAUCUUCAAUGGCAGAUUCAUGAUAUCAGAUCUUUAAAGUAGUCGAUGUCUUGAUGAAUUGAAAUUUGGGGUGGUUUGAGAUAUUUUUCAUAGAGGCAGUUGCCUUUUGCUUUAGAUUGAGACUGCUGAGAUUAUUUAAACAGUUGUCUGAAUCGAUACCUAAGCAAAACCUUUACUUUGUGAAUUGGGGCCUGUAAACAAUUGUUAUCAUAAUGAAAAAUCCUUGUCAAUCGCAA